rnacentral:rRNA from 1 species
UUAAACGGCCGCGGUAUCCUAACCGUGCAAAGGUAGCAUAAUCACUUGUCCUCUAAAUAAGGACUAGAAUGAAUGGCUACAUGAGGACUAACCUGUCUCUUGCAUUCAAUCAAUGAAAUUGAUCUUUUAGUCCAAAAGCUGAAAUAACCACAUAAGACGAGAAGACCCUGUGGAGCUUACUAAACUAAGCCCACCACUAUGAACACUUAGUUUUCAGUUGGGGCGACUUUGGAGCACAAAAAACCCUCCAAAUAACUUAACCAGAUUAACAUAUCGAUACCCCCUUUGACCCAGUAGUUUUAACCUCCCUACCUGAUCAAUGAACCAAGUUACCCCAGGGAUAACAGCGCCAUCCCCUUCAAGAGUCCCCAUCGACAAGGGGGUUUACGACCUCGAUGUUGGAUCAGGACACCCAAAUAGUGCAUCCGCUAUUAACGGUUCGUUUGUUCAACGAUUAA